CUGAUUCUACCUGGAUUAUGUUGGAGAGGACUACACCCUUGGCGUUCGGUUAUCCACAUUACAGCAGGGGGUGUAAAGCCAUAACACAUACAUUUUUCCAGAAGCAGACUAUGAUCAAUAAUGUCAAAAGCCACACUAAAGUCUAACAAAACAGUCCCCACAAACUUUUUAUCAUACAUGUAUCACAGCCAAUCAUCAGUCAUGUGCUGUGUUUCCCAAUAAGCAUGCUGAAAGUCUGUUGUCAAUUUGUUUACUGUAAAAUAGUCUUGUAUCUGGUCAAACACUGUAAAAAAAAGCCUGUCCCUUUAAGAACUCAGUGAUGACAUUACAGCUAUCACAAGCUGGCAGAGUGUUUAGUUCAUUACCAAGUGCAGCUGGCAACCUACUGCUGUGAACACAAAUCUCAGUUUUGGACAUUAUUUUCUUUCUGGCCAAUUUAUUUAUCACUGUGCGUGAACCAAAACUAUCACAUCUUGUAUGGGAUAAAUGGACAAUUAAUUGGAUAAUUCCAGCUGAGUGACUUUGCACAAAAUUGCAAACAUUGUUCAUCUCCAAUCAACAUCAAAGAACCCUAAACUGAGGAACUGUCUGUCUCACCGUUUCUCUAAUAAGAGUACAAUCUCCAUAACACCAACCUACUCAAUCAAUGUAUACAUUCCAGAGGCAUCAACCUCUAAUUCGAAAACAAAAAAAAUCUCAAAGUGUACUAAGGGUUGGUAACAGGCUGAUUGGUCAGCUAUUUGACCCAGUAAAGGGGGCUUUAGUAUUUUGGGGAAGCAGAAUGAUUUUUGCUUUGUGGAAUUCAAAAUGACAAUGCUUGACUGCGUUUGUUGUUGGCAUGUCAUGCCUAAGUUUGCUAAUAUUGCUAAUGAAAAAAAGUAUUAAAGUAGUUGGCAAUA